rnacentral:lncRNA from 1 species
AAGCUAAGCGGCGCUGGUGAAGCGGCUCAUCAGGUCUAUCAGGAAACCUGAGAAUUGGAGUGAGAAUCCCAGUGUGGAAAAUCAGGAAAGAGGCUGAGCCCACCAGAAGUAUGUCAGACAAGCCUGGCAGAAGGCAAACAUCAAUACAAAAUGGGCAGCCACACGAUGGGCCAAGAAGAUUGAAGCCAGAGAAAGGAAAGCCAAGAUGACAGAUU